AGGACGAACGCUGGCGGCGUGCCUAACACAUGCAAGUCGAACGGGACCAGGGGCAACUCUGGUUCAGUGGCGGACGGGUGCGUAACACGUGAGGAACAUGACUUUCGGCGGGGGAUAGCCGGCCCAACGGCCGGGUAAUACCGCGUACGACCUCUCGGGGACAUCCCCGGUUGGUGAAAGCAGCAAUGCACCGAAAGAGUGCCUCGCGGCCUAUCAGCUAGUUGGUGAGGUAACGGCUCACCAAGGCGACGACGGGUAGC
rnacentral:rRNA from 1 species